rnacentral:rRNA from 1 species
UAAUUGAAGAGUUUGAUCAUGGCUCAGAUUGAACGCUGGCGGCAGGCUUAACACAUGCAAGUCGAGCGGUAGCACAGGAGAGCUUGCUCUCUGGGUGACGAGCGGCGGACGGGUGAG